CGCUGGCGGCGUGCCUAACACAUGCAAGUCGAACGAGGUCCAUCCUUCGGGAGAAGACCUAGUGGCGAACGGAUGAGUAACACGUGAAGAACCUGCCCCGAAGACCGGGAUAACCCUCCGAAAGGAGAGCUAAUACCGGAUACCCCCACCGAACCGCAUGGUUUGGUGAGGAAAUGGAUUCCGCUUCGGGAGGGCUUCGCGGCCUAUCAGCUAGUUGGUGGGGUAACGGCCCACCAAGGCAUCGACGGGUAGCUGGUCUGAGAGGACGAUCAGCCACACUGGGACUGAGACACGGCCCAGACUCCUACGGGAGGCAGCAGUGGGGAAUCUUGCGCAAUGGGCGAAAGCCUGACGCAGCAACGCCGCGUGGGGAUGAAGGCUCUCGGGUUGUAAACCCCUUUCAGCAGGGACGAAUCAAGACGGUACCUGCAGAAGAAGCCCCGGCUAACUACGUG
rnacentral:rRNA from 1 species